CUCACAAACCACAGGAUCUUGACCUGAGCCAACGUCGGACGCUUAACCGACUGAGCCACCCAGUGUUUUGAAACCUGAAGCCUAGCAUAACGCUUCAUAAUUUACCAUCAGAAACGUGCUUUUCUUCCCGCCCGCUCAUCUCCGCUUCACUAGGGAGGCCCUUUAUAGACUUUCGGCUACAGACCCAGGCUCGGCUGUGCCCCACCUCCCAGCAAGUGCCGCAAAGCCCACACAGGGGUGGCUGGAGUGCCCAAGAUGCCACAGCUGCGUCCACCUGGGCUCUCGCCGGUGCUCAGGGCCACCGCUUCCUUCUCUGUCAGAGACUCAUCAUUCGCCGCCUGGACGGGUCAGCUUUUCUACUUCAUUCUUCUGUGUUCCGACUUCCUGCCAUGCACUCCUGUCCCGAGGAACACAGAGAUGCUCUGACUUCCACUAGAUUUCUCCUCCUCUCUGGGGGCUUUUCUCCCCCCACAGGGUAGCCCAGGGAGGAGCCGCACCACCAUACUCCCAGCACACUGCCACACCGUUUCUCGCACCACCGUGUUCUUUCUGCUUUCCCCAAACAUAUCAUAAUAACGUGAAGAGGCCGUAAAUAUGUUUACAUCUUAACUUUUGUAACCAUUGCCGUGUUUUUCCAUGUCGACCUUUCCAGAGGACCACUGUUCUCUCUGUCCUGGUGGUUGGGGCCUCGAAGCCUUGGGCUUUUCUUAGAUUUUCACCUUCUUUAGGUUACACGUGACUGGUUGAUAAAAAUACUGGCAUCUCUGUGCAGCUGAAAAAUGCAACGAUUUUUCUGGAAUAAUUGGCUCAAAACUGGUUUCCCCUCCAGUGCCCAGUAACGGCUGGUCAGUCUCAAGGGGCCUCAGAUGAUGGGAUUCAUAUCCCUUUGAGCCUCUUCCUCCCAAGAAAGGUAUCGAAGGGUAUUUCCUCACAGCUUUGUGUACUUUUGGCAAACAUUUUGGCAAAUGUUACUUGAGAGAAUAUUUUUUCUUUUGUGAUUUGUAUGUAACUAAUAGUCAUUCGUUUCUAUAUAAAUUAAGAAAUAUGGAUAGCCAAAUAUAAUAAGAAAAUUAUGCAAACCUGCCGUCCAUGAGUCAGCACAGUUGUUUAUAUCUGUUUUUCUAUGAGACUCUUAUGUGACUGGUACAUAUGUGUGCAUAGGUAUUAAACAUAUAGACUAUUUAUGGCA